rnacentral:rRNA from 1 species
UACGAAGGGGGCUAGCGUUGCUCGGAAUCACUGGGCGUAAAGCGCACGUAGGCGGCUUUUUAAGUCAGGGGUGAAAUCCUGGAGCUCAACUCCAGAACUGCCUUUGAUACUGGGAAGCUUGAGUCCGGAAGAGGUGAGUGGAACUCCGAGUGUAGAGGUGAAAUUCGUAGAUAUUCGGAAGAACACCAGUGGCGAAGGCGGCUCGCUGGUCCGGUACUGACGCUGAGGUGCGAAAGCGUGGGGAGCAAACAGG